AGGCAGCAGUGGGGAGUAUUGGACAAUGGGGGCAACCCUGAUCCAGCAAUGCCGCGUGGAUGAAGAAGGUCUUCGGAUUGUAAAGUCCUUUCGACGGGGACGAUGAUGACGGUACCCGUAGAAGAAGCCCCGGCUAACUUCGUGCCAGCAGCCGCGGUAAUACGAAGGGGGCUAGCGUUGCUCGGAAUGACUGGGCGUAAAGGGCGCGUAGGCGGUUUGAUUAGUUAGGCGUGAAAUUCCCGGGCUCAACCUGGGAACUGCGUUUAAUACAGUCAGACUUGAGUUCGGAAGAGGGUCGUGGAAUUCCCAGUGUAGAGGUGAAAUUCGUAGAUAUUGGGAAGAACACCGGUGGCGAAGGCGGCGACCUGGUCCGAUACUGACGCUGAGGCGCGAAAGCGUGGGGAGCAAACAGGAUUAGAUACCCUGGUAGUCCACGCCGUAAACGAUGUGUGCUGGAUGUUGGGUGACCUAGUCACUCAGUGUCGUAGCUAACGCGAUAAGCACACCGCCUGGGGAG
rnacentral:rRNA from 1 species